UGUAGAUGAAUCACAUUAAUCUCUGCUGUCAUAAUCACCUGGCAUUCUUCUUGCUUAUGUGUAUCUCCGUGUUCAAAUAUCUGCUUUUUAUAAAGACUUCAGUCAUGCUAAAUUAGGGCCUGCCCUAAUGACCUCGCCUGAACUUGAUCAUCUACAAAGAACCUAUUUCCAAACAAGGUCACACUCACAGAUGUAUCAUGCUGGAAGAAGGAAGCCACAUUCCAGUCUUGAACCCUGACGCUCAUGGGGAAGACAUUAGGGAUGUUAACAUCAGUUUCACCACUGGAGCUCUGGGGCCAUCAGUCACUAGUACCCAUUGAAGCACAACACCUGCUGUGCUGUUGAAAUAUUUCCUCACCUGCAAUCAACACCUCUAGAAUAGUUUUCCCCAUGAGCCUCAGGGUUCAAGACUGAAAUGUAUCGACCGUCUUCCAAAUGUGGAUUUAGUAUUCUUUGUGUGAU